GUUUAUGAUUCAGUUCUUCAGUCAUCGCUGCUCUCUGAUCCAGAGCCCAGAUGCUAUGUGCGCCCUGGUUUCAUGUGGGUUCCAUCGACACUGCUCUACUAGGGAAGAAGAGCUGGCCUUGGCCUCAGUUGUCCUUGGUGGAUUUGAAACUCGGUUCCUGAAGUUCUGAGCUCCUGUCAGAGAGGUCAGCAGACAAGUCAACUAGGGGCAGGGAGAUUCAGGACUCUGCUGGAAACAUCAUCUCCAACAAAGCUCAUUUCCUUGAUGUGUGACCAGCACUGGAAUGCUGGCAUGGAGUGGUUUAAGUUCUAAAUGUUAAGGAACUCCCAGCCUCUGCUCCAGAAUGGCUCUAGAGAUCUGCAUUCACAGCAGAGCUCCCAGGGCUCCCUGACUUCAUACUGCGUGUCCUCCUAUCUGAUCUCAUCUUCCUUUCGCACACUCAGAGAACGAGGGGACAGCUCACUGAGGUUUUGUCUUUCUCCAGAGAUUACUACAUUGACCAACUUUGCGGACAUUGGUUCCCUGUAUUUAUAUUUUCUUUGAGAACUGUAAAUAAACAGUUUUUUUCUUCUACUGUGUUGUUUGUCAUCAGAUUUU